rnacentral:lncRNA from 1 species
CGAGGACAGUGACCUGGCCCGGACAGGGCCGAAGAAGUCCCCGGCCCUUGUGCCCCGCCGCCCCGGACCAGGGACUCCGCGGCGACCCCCCUGCCCGCCCCGCGCCCGAGCCCAGGACCGGGGCAGGGAAAGAAGCGGGCGCCACGCGCGGGCAACUUGGAGACUUACCUUCCCGGAUGCGCUACACCAUCAAUGGAGGAGAGAAAACGAGGCAGAGACGGUGUGGGAGCCCCCCAGCACAUAGUUGUAGAUUCUAGUUGUGAGUGCCUCUGGUUCUGCUUUGUGGGACGCCGCCUCAGCAUGGCCUGAGGAGUGGUGCCAUGUCCUCGCCCGGGAUCUGAACCGACGAAACCCCUGGGCCGCUGAAGCCAAGCCUGCGAACCCAACCACCUGGCCAUGGAGCCGGCCCCUGCC